ACAUGCAGUCGAGGGGCAGCGGGAGGAGUGCUUGCACUUCUUGCCGGCGACCGGCGCACGGGUGAGUAACACGUAUGCAACCUGCCUCCGUCAGGGGGACAACCCGGCGAAAGCCGGGCUAAUCCCGCGUAUAUUCCGUGAGGGCAUCCUUACGGAAGGAAAGGUUUCGGCCGGACGGGGAUGGGCAUGCGGCGCAUUAGGUAGUCGGGGGUGUAACGGACCACCGAGCCGACGAUGCGUAGGGGUUCUGAGAGGAAGGUCCCCCACACUGGUACUGAGACACGGACCAGACUCCUACGGGAGGCAGCAGUGAGGAAUAUUGGUCAAUGGUCGGAAGACUGAACCAGCCAAGCCGCGUGAAGGAAGAAGGUGCUCGGCAUCGUAAACUUCUUUUGUCAGGGAACAAAGGGCGGUACGUGUACCGCUGUGAGUGUACCUGAAAAAAAAGCAUCGGCUAACUCCGUGCCAGCAGCCGCGGUAAUACGGAGGAUGCGAGCGUUAUCCGGAUUUAUUGGGUUUAAAGGGUGCGCAGGCGGCGCGGUAAGUCAGCGGUAAAAGCCCGGGGCUCAACCCCGGCGAGCCGUUGAAACUGCCGUGCUAGAGUAAGGUCGAGGUAUGCGGAAUGCGCGGUGUAGCGGUGAAAUGCAUAGAUAUCGCGCAGAACUCCGAUUGCGAAGG
rnacentral:rRNA from 1 species